rnacentral:misc_RNA from 1 species
GAUGAAGAAGUAGCGAAAUGCGAUACGUAAUGUGAAUUGCAAAUUCAGUGAAUCAUCGAGUCUUUGAACGCACAUUGCGCCCCCUGGUAUUCCGGGGGGCAUGCCUGUCCGAGCGUCAUUGCUGCCCUCAAGCACGGCUUGUGUGUUGGGCCCCGUCCUCCGAUUCCGGGGGACGGGCCCGAAAGGCAGCGGCGGCACCGCGUCCGGUCCUCGAGCGUAUGGGGCUUUGUCACCCGCUCUGUAGGCCCGGCCGGCGCUUGCCGAUCAACCCAAAUUUUUAUCCAGGUUGACCUCGGAUCAGGUAGGGAUACCCGCUGAACUUAAGCAUAUCAAUAAGCGGAGGA